CAGACUGGUGCUCCGACUCGUGCGUGGAGGUGGGCUCCAGCACCUUCUGCAGGGUCCCUGGGCACACGAAGACU